GGCGCUAUAGUGUAGUGGUUAUCACUCGGGAUUUUGAUCAUCAUAUUUCCCGUAACCCAGGUUCGAACCCUGGUAGUGCCU